AUCCAGUUGACGAGUCUUAAAUAGGACGAUACGCGCGUUCUGGAU
rnacentral:hammerhead_ribozyme from 1 species